rnacentral:rRNA from 1 species
CCUACGGGUGGCAGCAGUGAGGAAUAUUGGUCAAUGGGCGCGAGCCUGAACCAGCCAAGUAGCGUGAAGGAUGAAUGCCCUAUGGGUUGUAAACUUCUUUUAUAAGGGAAUAAAGUGCGGCACGUGUGCCGUUUUGCAUGUACCUUAUGAAUAAGGAUCGGCUAACUCCGUGCCAGCAGCCGCGGUAAUACGGAGGAUCCGAGCGUUAUCCGGAUUUAUUGGGUUUAAAGGGAGCGUAGGUGGGUUGUUAAGUCAGUUGUGAAAGUUUGCGGCUCAACCGUAAAAUUGCAGUUGAUACUGGCAUUCUUGAGUACAGUUGAGGUAGGCGGAAUUCGUGGUGUAGCGGUGAAAUGCUUAGAUAUCACGAAGAACUCCGAUUGCGAAGGCAGCCUGCUAAACUGUGACUGACGUUGAUGCUCGAAAGUGUGGGUAUCAAACAGGAUUAGAUACCCUUGUAGUC